UACGUAGGGCGCGAGCGUUGUCCGGAUUUAUUGGGCGUAAAGAGCUCGUAGGCGGCUUGUCGCGUCGAAUGUGAAAUCUCAGGGCUCAACUCUGACAUUGCAUUCGAUACGGGCAGGCUAGAGUUCGGUAGGGGAGACUGGAAUUCCUGGUGUAGCGGUGAAAUGCGCAGAUAUCAGGAGGAACACCGGUGGCGAAGGCGGGUCUCUGGGCCGAUACUGACGCUGAGGAGUGAAAGCGUGGGGAGCGAACAGG
rnacentral:rRNA from 1 species